UACGAAGGGGGCUAGCGUUGCUCGGAAUCACUGGGCGUAAAGGGUGCGUAGGCGGGUUUUUAAGUCAGAGGUGAAAUCCUGGAGCUCAACUCCAGUACUGCCUUUGAUACUGGAAGUCUUGAGUAUGGGAGAGGUGAGUGGAACUGCGAGUGUAGAGGUGAAAUUCGUAGAUAUUCGCAAGAACACCAGUGGCGAAGGCGGCUCACUGGCCCAUUACUGACGCUGAGGCACGAAAGCGUGGGGAUCAAACAGG
rnacentral:rRNA from 1 species